CCUACGGGAGGCAGCAGUGGGGAAUAUUGCACAAUGGGGGAAACCCUGAUGCAGCGACGCCGCGUGAGUGAAGAAGUAAUUCGGUACGUAAAGCUCUAUCAGCAGGGAAGAAAAUGACGGUACCUGAGUAAGAAGCACCGGCUAACUACGUGCCAGCAGCCGCGGUAAUACGUAGGGGGCAAGCGUUAUCCGGAUUUACUGGGUGUAAAGGGAGCGUAGACGGGGUGGUAAGUCUGAAGUGAAAUGCCGCAGCUUAACUGCGGAACUGCUUUGGAAACUGGGGAACUAGAGUGCGGGAGGGGUAGGCGGAAUUCCUAGUGUAGCGGUGAAAUGCGUAGAUAUUAGGAGGAACACUGGUGGCGAAGGCGGCCUACUGGACCGUAACUGACGCUGAGGCUCGAAAGCGUGGGGAGCAAACAGGAUUAGAUACCCUUGUAGUC
rnacentral:rRNA from 1 species